UACGGGAGGCAGCAGUGGGGAAUAUUGCACAAUGGGCGCAAGCCUGAUGCAGCCAUGCCGCGUGUAUGAAGAAGGCCUUCGGGUUGUAAAGUACUUUUCAGUCGUGAGGAAGGUGUUAAGGUUAAUAACCUUAGCAAUUGACGUUAGCGACAGAAGAAGCACCGGCUAACUCCGUGCCAGCAGCCGCGGUAAUACGGAGGGUGCGAGCGUUAAUCGGAAUUACUGGGCGUAAAGGGCACGCAGGCGGUUAAUUAAGUUGGAUGUGAAAUCCCCGGGCUUAACCUGGGAAUGGCAUUCAAGACUGGUUAGCUAGAGUCUUGUAGAGGGGGUAGAAUUCCAUGUGUAGCGGUGAAAUGCGUAGAGAUGUGGAGGAAUACCGGUGGCGAAGGCGGCCCCUGGACAAAGGACUGACGCUCAUGUGCGAAAGCGUGGGGAGCGAAACAGGGAUUAGAUACC
rnacentral:rRNA from 1 species